ensembl:lncRNA STXBP5-AS1 STXBP5 antisense RNA 1
GCUGCUGCUGUUGCUGCUGCGACGCCGAGGACGAGCCGGCGGUCAGGCCGUCCAGCACCUUCCUGAUGUUGAAUUUCCUCAUGGUCUCGGAGGGGCUCCCCCGCAGCCCGGGAGGGGAGGCACAGGGGGUCCCCGGGCGGGGGAGACCACCCGGGGCCGAAGGCAGCUUCGACCGCGGAAACGGAGGAGUGGGAGUGUGAGGAGAAAUAUGCAAUGAUGACAUUUCCAAGAAGUGAUGGCAUCUGGCGCUAAGGACAAAGAAUGGGAUUUUGCCACAGGGAUCUUAUUCUCCCACAUGUUCUGUCUGAAGGAGAAAGUUAUCUGAGGCCUUAUAUGAUGCAAAACUUUGGACUCAAAGAAAUUAAAUCACUUGCCCAAGGUUACAUAGCUGCCACCCAGGAGCUUACAAUUUAUGUGAGGAAACAGAUUGUAUACAUAUACAGAUAAUUAAAAAUAUAUAUGCCCCUGGCAAACACCAUUCUACUUUCCGUCUCUAUGAAUUUGACUACUCGAAGUACCUCAUGUGAAAUGUUGGUGCCAAAUGAACUUUUCUGGUUCUUCUGAAUAUGCCACUGUUGCUGGAGAAAUGUCACUGCUAGAGAACAGAAGACUAUUAUUCCAAAGGGUAUUUGAGACUGACUGAAUCAGGUCUGGAACAUUAUUGAAAUGAGACCCACAAAAGAAGAGAUACUGAGGUGGUGACCAGAUGGAUAUAAACGGGCUGUGGAAAAAGAGAAUGCAUGGCCAAAAAUGGUGGUGCUCUCUGUCCAAAAACUGAGGCCCUAUGACCAUGAAUGAAGCCAGAGGGCAGGUAGGAAUAGAUCAUUUGCUCCAGAAGAAGCUGGUUGCCAUGUCUUGAGGACAGUAAACCCUCUGGGGAGGUUCCUGUGGUAAGGAACAAGGGCUCCUGGCAAUAGCCUCUGAGUGAGCCACCUUGAAAAUGGAUUGUCCAGCCCCAGUCAAGCUUUCAGAUGACUGUAGCUCCUGCCAAUGUCUUCACCACAACCUCAUGAGAUCCCAAGCUACAACCACUCAGUUAAGUUAUGCCAAAAUUCCUGAUUCACAGAAAUUGACAUACAGGAGAGGUCACAGUUAAGAUCUUGAUGUUCUAUCUUGACCCAUAAUAUAGGAACUUCAUCUUUUGGGAAGCACCAGGGAGAGCUGCCUGUGCCUGGCAGAAGCUGCCCAUGCCCCACUGAUACCCCACAGUACUUCCUGUUCUGCUUAGUACUCCUGCUUCUUUCUACAAACAACUGUGAUUCUCUACCUGGGAGCUUCCUCUGGCCACAGGAGCCUGCUCACCUGAUUGGGACACCCUAGCAGUACUGGCUCAUAGAUGGAAGGGACUUGCCUUGUCGCUGAUGAGACUUUCGACUUGGACUUUUGAGUCAAUGCUGGAAUGAGUUAAGACUUUGGGGAACUGUUGGAAGGGUGUGAUUGUGUUUUGAAUUGUGAGGACAUGAGAUUUUGAAGAGGCUAAUGGCAGCGUCCCCACCUAAAUCUCUUCUUGAAUUGUAGUUCCCAUAAUCCCCACGUGUCGUGGGGUGGAGCCGGUGGAGAUAAUUGAAUCAUGGGAACACUUUCCCCCAUGCUGUUAUUGUGAUUGUGAAUUCUCACGAGAUCUGAUGGUUGUAUAAACGCCUUCCCUCUUCGCUGGGCACUCAUUUUUCUCCUUCCUGCCACCAUGUGAAGAAGGAUAUGCUUGCUUCUUGUGCCAUGAUUGUAAGUUUCCUGAGGCCUCCCCAGCCAUGCUGAACUGUGAGUCAAUUGAACCUCUUUCCUUUAUAAAUUACCUAGUCUUGGAUAUGUUUUUAUUAGCAGUGUGAGACAGGACUAAUACACAAAGGAUUUGAAAUCACAAAGGAGCUGUUUUCUGCUCCACCAUGGAAGUCUCACAUGCAUCACAUCUAUUCAUAUCCAUUUGCCACAACUAGACAAAAAGUCCUUUUUAAAAUCUGCCUAGAGAUCAGGAAGUAUUAUCUCUGGAUGCCUAGGCAGGAGAGGUGAAUCAGAUAUUGGUGGGCACUAGUGUGUUCUAUGAUACAUAGCUUAAUAAAAAUAAGUUUCAGAUAAAUCUAAAUAUACAUUAGAAUACUGUAACCACAGUAGAAAAAAAUAUUGGCUCCUUUUUGUGAUAAACUAAUGAUGGUAAAUGCACCCUAUUUAAGCAAGAAAAGAAACUGAUCUGCCAUAAAGAAAACAAUGACAUAUUUAACUACAAAAUAUGUUACAAAAUAUUAAUAUCCCUAAUGGACAAAUGAGUUCCAAUAAAUGGAUAACAAAAAACCAAUAAGUCUGUAGAAAAAUGGAGAAAAUAUAUUUGCAGAAUAUUUAUACAGGUGGUAAUGAAAUUGACAAUGAUGUUUAUCAUCAGCAGUAAACAGUAAAAAGUUUCACCCACCAGGACUAUAGAAAUUUUUCAAAUGGAUAAUUUUCAGAAUCAGCAAAGUUAUAGAAAAGUAGGUACCAGUUGCACAUACCAUUGGAGGAAAUGUAAAAUAUAGUUACCUUGUGGAAAGUAAUCUGAUGUAAUAUAUUAAAAUUUUAUCCAUGUAUGUCCUAUAAUUCAGCAAUUCCAUGUUGGGGAAUCCAUACAAAGAAAUACUUAUACACAUGCAGAAGGAGCUAAGUUUAAGAAAGCACACAUUUCAGCGGGUUGUGGUGUCUCACCCCUGUAAUCCCAGCACAUUGGGAGGCCGAGGUUGGUGGAUCACCUGAGGUCAGGAGUUUGAGACCAGCCUGGCCAACAUGGUGAAACCCUGUCUCUACUAAAAAUACAAAAAAUUAGCUGGUGUGGCAGUGGGUGCCUGCAGCUACUCAGGAGGCUGAGGCAGGAGAAUCGCUUGAACCUGGGAGGUGGAGGUUGCAGUGAGCUGAGAUCACACCACUGCACUCCAGCCUGGGUGACAAGAGCGAAAUUCCAUCUC